CUGAGGGGCGGCGGGAGCGCUCGGCCGCGCACACGGAGCGUGUUUGUAACCCGCUCAAGGGUCAGUCAGGUUGGGAAAGACUUCUGAGAUUAUCGAGUCCAACCAUGACCCAACACCACUAUGGCACUGGGUGCCACGUCCAGUCUUUCCUUAAACACCUCCAGGGACAGUGACUCCACCAUCGCCUUGGGCAGCCCAUUCCAAUGUCCAGUCGCCCUGUGAAGAAAUUCCUCCUCAUGCGCAACCUAAACUCCACUGGUCCAGCUUAAGACUGCGCCCUCUCAUGCUGUCGCUGGUUUCCUGGGAUGAGAGCCUGAUCCCCACCUGGCUGCCCCCUCCUGUCAGGGAGCUCUAGAGAGCAAUAAGGCGGCCCUGAGCCUCCUCCAGGCUGAGCUCCCCCCCAGCCCCCUCAGCUGCUCAUCGCACAUGUGCUCCAGAGCCUUCCCCGGCUCCACUCCCGUCUCUGGAAUUCCAGCACCUCGGGUCACCUGGCUGAAAUGAAGGGACAGCUUGGAGCCGCUCUGCUGGAGCUCCAGCGAGUCGUUCCAGCUCUGCACGGCCCAGUGCACAAUCUGAGACUGAGAGCAUUAGAAACAAAUCAGUGAUGCACAGAGCGCAAAAGCUUAGGAAGAAAAAGAAUCUAAUGCAGAAAAAAGAUCUAAACAAGCUUUGGAAAAGAGAGCUCUCAUUUUGGACUGAGCACCAGCAGUGGGAAAGCCAGUGCUAGUAAAACAAUAACUGAUGAAAUCGAGAGUGACAAAGAGCUUUAGAGAUUAUUUAAAUCCAUCCAUCCUUUAUUAAGCCUAAUAAACAAGUGAAUACCCUCACCUCAGUGGUUUGACAUUUUCUGUUUACAAUUGGUCUCCAGCUUCCAGGCACAAGACACCAGAGAAUAAAACAAUGCUUUAGGAAUGUUUUGCAUCUCAGUUGAGACACUUCACAAGCACUAGCACAACCCAGCCCUGCGAGGCAGAACGUGAGCAGCAAAACUGCUGACCUUGUUACAGGCACAGUCUUUGCUCCUUUGCUCCCGUCUCUGGAUGUUCAACUGUCAACGCGUCAGGGAAGGGCUGUCUGAGAUUCUGCACAGGGCAGAAGACAAUGCUACUUGGAUGAUUCUGUUGCUACUGACACGAGCAUUUCAUAAAAUAAACACAUCCAACUGCUUUUUCUGUCCUGCUGGGAUUCUCAAUACACUAUGCCAGCUGCUCAAGAUUCUGUAACAGAUGCGUUGCCAGGAACUGCAUCACAACAAUUUAUAUAACCCAGACACGAGGGGUCUAAACCUUCCUCCACAGCUACCUACUGGUCAUAAUUACCUGCUCCUGUGGAUGUGCCCUCAGUGGCUCUCCUGCUAAUUAAACAGCAGUUUGGGUCAUCCAUCAAAAGAACAGGAUGAGUACAGCAACUGAGGCCACUAAAACAAGUCUUCAGCUGAAACAGGUGUGUACAAAGAUUUGCAAACAAGGCUGAGCCAGUGCACAGGAGCAGAGCUGCUGGGGCUGUGUGUGAGGGUGAGGAGGUCAGCCUUCAGCAGCAGAGCUGCACUCCACGAGCACCCGGUGCUCCAAGGACACAGCAUUGCUCCAGCUCAGCACUCACAGCAUUUGGCAAAUUGCCGAGGUACCAGCGAAAGGCUACAGCGGGCUGUGAUACAGCACCUCGCUUGUGUGUGUCAGCACCUCAGCUACAGCUUUAUUUAUACUCACAAAACUUCUCCUUUCCCUUGGCAAGGUCUCAGUUCAGUGCAGAUUUCAAAACAGUCCUGAAACAAUGUGGAUUUCAGCUAUUCAUGACAAGCACAUAUGCCAUGCUGCUGCACAAAUUGGAAGCAGAAAUGAUCUUUGCCCUCAUUAUGCCUCUCUGCUGCUCUGCUGAGGCUGUAAUGACAGAGACAGGACAUGUACUGGCAGGUCUCAACUGGAAUAAAAAUUACUUUCUGGACCACAGGAGAGUUGCUGAUAUUGUGCCCCUUGUACCUCUCUGCUUCAGUACUGCCCUGGGAAAAAGGAAAUGUGAGAGAAAAAAAGGACUCAGUAAAUUAAAAACAGCUCUUCUGCUAAUUACAUGAACAUCCUCUUGGGAACACACCUGGUGACCGAGCUGUGAAACAUUUGUUAAUAAAAAAGAGCGUGCCCAGGUACCCUGGACAGAUGAAACAAUGCCAGCAGCUCUGUGAGCACCACCCUCCCAACUCUAUAAAGACACUGGGAGAUGGGUUGUAACUGCAAGGGGGAAGCUGUGUUUGUAUUUCCUAUUAUCAUCAUCUUCAUGUCAUUAUCCUCCUUUCAUAUCACAUAGGCAAUAUUUAGGAAAGAAAUAAGACAAUUGAAAAUAUCUUUCUAGUUUAGCCUUUUUCUCUACUCAUAUAAUCUCCUGCUCUUCCUCUUCCCCCUCCUUUUUUCUUUCCAACCAACAAUUCCACUCUAUUUUUAGCCAGGUGGUUUCUGAAAGGUACAACCAAAAUCAGAGUUUCAUACUGAAAUAAAAAGAAAACAACAGGCUCAUUUUUUAUGUCUCCAAGGAACUAUCAAAGAAAUCAGAAAUCACUUCAGAAUGCCAGCACAGUUGGAAGCUGGCAAUUUUUACCUUUACAGGCCACUUGUGUCACUGCAUGACAAUAUUCUGCUCCUUCUCAAGAGUUUACUCUGCGGCUGUAGAGGGAGCUACCCUAAAGUCUUCCUAGAUGUCUGCAGAUGAGGGUACUGCAGAGACAGCUGCUAGAAGAGGGUCUCCAUCUGGAAAAGCAGCUUGUAAUCUACUGGAAAACCACAUCCAGCAGAGAAGCACCUCAAC